ACGGCUCAGUAACACGUUACUAACUUGCCCUUUCGGUCGGGAAUAGCCACGGGAAACUGUGGGUAAAACCCGAUAGGGUAUGCGAUCUGGAAUGCCGCAUACUUCAAACUCGCGCCGAAGGAUAGGGUAGCGGCUGAUUAGGUAGUUGGUGGGGUAACGGCCCACCAAGCCAAUGAUCAGUACGGGCCUUGAAAGAGGUAGCCCGGAGAGGGACACUGAGAUACUGGUCCCAGCCCUACGGGGUGCAGCAGGCGCGAAACCUUUACAAUGCACGAAAGUGUGAUAAGGGGAUCCUACGUGCUCGUGCUAAAGCACGGGCUUUUGCCAAGAGUAAAUAUCUUGGAGAAUAAGUGGUGGGUAAGACUGGUGCCAGCCGCCGCGGUAACACCAGCGCCACAAGUGGCAAUCGGCAUUAUUGGGCCUAAAGCGUCCGUAGCUGGAUAUGUACAUCCUUUGUGAAAUCGUCGGGCUCAACCCGACGGCGUGCAGAGGACACGGCAUAUCUUGGGAGCGGGAGGAGCAAGAGGUAUUCGGGGGGGACCGGUAAAAUGGUAUAAUCCCCCGAGGACCACCGAUGGCGAAAGCAUCUUGCUAGAACGCGUCCGACAGUCAGGGACGAAAGCCAGGGGAGCGAACCGGAUUAGAUACCCGAGUAGUCCUGGCCGUAAACGCUGUGAGUUAGGCGUUGCACCACCCACGAGGUUGUGCAGUGUCGAUGCGAAGGCAUUAAACUCACCGCCUGGGGAGUACGGUCGCAAGGCUGAAACUUAAAGGAAUUGGCGGGGGAGCAC
rnacentral:rRNA from 1 species